AGACCGGUCUACUGGUCGUGCUUUUGUACGUACUGGUUUUAUUGGUUUCUCCUUUCUGACGAACUAUAAUGCCAUUAAUUUGGUGUUAUGGGGAAUCAGGACUGUUACUUUGAAAAAAUUAGAGUGUUUAAAGCAGGCUCACGCUUGAAUACAUUAGCAUGGAAUAACGGAAUAGGACGUUUGAUUCUAUUUUGUUGGUUUCUAGGACCGAAGUAAUGAUUAAUAGGGAUAGUUGGG
rnacentral:rRNA from 1 species